UGGGCGAGUUGAAGCAAGAAAUCAAUUAUAAACACUGGGAGUGAUAAGAUAAUGACAUAAGAAUAAUGACGUAAUCAGUUAUGUCACUUUAAAAUACUGAAAAGCGAGACCCACGCCACGUGUAUAAAUCGAAGUCUUCUGAUUUUCUUGGGUGGUGGCUUUAUAACUCAAGUGGGUCUGGUCGGGUGCAAAAGUUUCUAAUCUGGUUUGCGUUUAGAUUGCUGACCUUCUAGUCAAACAAGCGUCAAUAUUGAGCCGAACUUCCUUC
rnacentral:lncRNA from 1 species